CUCUUGAGAGAUGAUAGACUGUUACAUGACAUUCUUUUAUGGCAAAUGGACUCUCCUGUAGACCAUCCUGAUCCAGCAAAUUUGAUCGUAGUCUCAGAUAAAGUUAGAGAUCACACGUACUUAUUCGAAACACUUGGAUGUUUGAAUACGAGAUAUUACAAUGUUAUGUUGGUAACUCCGACUAACCUACCACUAACCCCUGAUUGGCCAGCAUCGCUAUUAGAGGAAGGCGCAUACUGUUUUGGUAAGGAAACUUAAAGUGAAGAUCCUAGUCCGAUGCAGGUGAAGAAAACACCUGAGAGGUAGGAAGAUCAGGGCUGGUACUGAUUAUGUGGACUAGCUAGCUGUGGAUGUGCCCAUUUUAGUGUAACUAUCACAAACUCAUUUUCAUUUGAAUUUCUAUUAUUUUAAACAGAAAAUUCCUUCACUGAUGGUUUGACCUUCUUGAGCAAAAGAAUUUUCAUGAAUUUUAGUCAAGUGGUCACGACAGGAAAGCACAACAACUAGAAGAAACUACAUAUUAGUUUACAGUCAGUUUGCGUUCAUAUACGAACAUACCCGACUCUUAGUUGAGUAUAUUGUUUAUGUUUUCUCGUUGAACAUGUGUCUCUUCCUUGAACAUAUGUGAUUCUUCACGUAGAGUCUUUUGGUUGUCUAUAUAUAUAUGAGACAUUGCAAAGAGGAGAGAAUCAAUUAACACAUCUAAUUCAUAACAAGAAUAAUUUGAGAGAGAAAGUAAAAACAUUUGUGAGAGAAAAACACAUCUAUGUACACUUAGGGAAGUUUGUGAAACAGAGACACUAGAAUGUAAAAACACAUCUAUAUACACUUAAGGAAGUUUGUGAGAGUAAAAGUAAAACCAUUUGUCACAAGUGGUUUAUUAUACAUUUAUAUAUACACUAUAAUGUUAUUUUGAACGGUGACAAGUAAACACAAUAUUCAUUUGUGAGAUUUUUUUCCCUCACCUCAAGAAAAACACAUCUAUAUACCACUGAAUCAUGUCUCUUUUAUUAUAUUAAUCUCCAAACUUGAUAAUGUGGCCAUACUAAUUUAGAAAAAGCUAAUAAGAAAAUGUUUAUAAUUUGUGUACUUAAAAAUGAAAAUAUAGAAGGAAAGCUUUUAACAUGUUUAUAUAAACAAUAUAAUAAAUUAUUCAGGUGAGGAUCGAUUAAUUUACCACAAACAACGCAAUUUGUGUUGCAGACCCAAUAGCGAUUAUUCCCAGAGUUUAUAGCUUCUAGGUUCUAAUAUUAUUAUCAUUUUUCAGAAUCAGAAUAAUAAAUUAGAGAAUAAUGGAAGAUUUUUUUUUUGAUAAAUUGUUGAUCACUUACUGAUAUGAUUUUAUUGGUAGUAAAGACGCACCAGUUUGUUUGUUAAGGAAGGUCCUCUCUCACCCGACCUAACCCUAACGUAGCGAGCAAGUCUCCAAUUCGUAACAAUGCCCGAAGCCAAGAGCGAAUAUUUCUCUGGCAAUUGGACAUUCGUCUUCUGGCUCACGGAUGACUACCCAGUCCCUGUUGGUGUCGGGAUUCAUUCUAUCCAUAGUACUAUCAACGCAUCAAAUGGGUUUUGAUAAGGUGCAACCAAUCCAGGAAUAUUGUGACAACGACAAACGGUAUAAAGUUACGGCUUCUAAACAAAUGGUUAGGGAAAUGUUUGUUCGAGCAGGAUCGAUGUAUGGUGAACCAGUAAAUUUAGUGGUCAUCGCAAAACAAAGCACAAACCCUGAGAUGAACAGGGUUCUUCACUGUUUGAACUCCAGAAACAACCCUGUUCUCGUGGUCGAGCCGCCUGAUGAUGACACGGCGCGAGAUAGUGUAUUUCGUUCUGUAGACUCGCUAGUUGAGUGUACCCAUGUUGUAGGUGGAGGAAAGACUACAAGGCCACAGAGUUAUUGUUUUUGGUGAUGAUUCUGGUUCUGAUUCUGAUACUGAUACUGAUACUGAUGCUUAUCGGUGGAGGAAAAGAAUGAUCUAUAAGCUGGAAGGCUAAAAUGUCCUCCAGUGAUUGUGGUUGCUGUCAAGUCUUUGGGAUUAAUGUAUGAUGUUUCAUCUUUGUUCUGUUAAACUCUGUUUUUGUGUUUAAAUGAUUUUGCAGCUUUUUCUAAAGCUCUGCUCAACCUAAUGCAUUCUUUAAUUUCUCCAAGAAUUUUCAGAGGGCACUUCACAACUGUUAUCAAAUAUCUUUAUAAUAGAAGAAAAUAAUUAUUGGGCAUGGUUAACUUGGAUGUGUUUGUAUGUGUACUGCAAGUGAUGCUUUGGAUAUGCUUAGUUUAGGUUCUUGAGUGUAACAGAGCCUUCUUUGCUUGGAGAUGGUGGAGAGCUUCUUAUUGGCAAGAGCACGUGCUAAUUGUUCCUUAAAACUCAAGAAAACAAAUAGCUUUAAAUGCGAAUAUGUGCUUUGGUUCUCACACACAGUUACUAGUGUUUAAGGGGAAACUGUGUUUGUAAUCUGCUGGUAUCUUCAAGCAUAGAAUUGUGUAUAUAGAGCUCCAUAAUGUCAUGUAAACUUAGUCUUACGGUUCAUGAGUUCCUCUUCAUUUGAUUCUGUUUCUUAUACAGUCUUUCAUCAAUUGCAAAGAAUUGUCCUCAUUCACAGAAAGUGGAAAAUGUAUAGAUGCUCUUUACUCGAUUAAAAGUAUUUAUAUGUGAUAUUGUAUAUUGUCAUUUCUUCCUUAUUUUGCUUCCUAGUUUUUAAAGAUUGUAUUGUACAUUUAAAUCUCAACAAUGAUAGGAAGGUGAAGACUCUGCCAAUCAUGUGAACCAGCAGAUGUGUUUCAGCUGUACAUGCAGUUAUUGCACGUGGUUUAUCAGCUUCUUCUGACACUUCUUUUCCAGUAUAGUACAUAGAGAGGGAAAUAUUGUAUUUCAUCAAAUGUGCAACAUAGGGAAUAUAUAUAUAAAGUGGUAUACCUGGACUGGAUCUUCUGCUCAAUAUGAUGUGUUAUCAGAAGCAUUCUUACUUCUUAAUUGGGUUCUACAAAUGUGGAGGCCGCCAUCAAGAACCAAGAUGCAAGUUUCAGUGGAGAAUUUUUCGCUGUGAUUCCAUCAGCAUCUGUAGAUAAGUCUGAGGAGUUUAGUCACAGGUUCUAACAGCUUUGUUUCCUCAACAUCAACUUCACUUGAUUGAUCAUCUUCAUCAAAUAGGUUACUUAAGAUGAAGUAAGAGAAAUAGAGGAAAGAAAAGGAACUGAGUCGCCUGAUGCUCUGGCAAUAGAAUACACUUUUGGUUAUGUUCGAAAACGUUAAACAAAAUUAAGAAGUUUAGAUAUAUUUAAAGAAAUUAAUUUUCAUUUUUAAAUUGAAAGAUUUGAUCGGAUUUUAAUAAAAACAAGAUAUUGACCCGCGCUUAGAAAACGCGGAUUUAUUUUUGAAAUUAAAUAAAUUCUUCUUGUAUAAUUUCUAUAUUAGAUAAUGUAUAGGUUUGGAGACAUUUGUCCGGAUGCACUGAAUCGUACCAAACUGGAUUUUUUAAAAAAAAUUAAGAUGAAUUUCAUAAAUAACC